CAUCAGUGUUGUAUUCUAUCUCGAACAGUCGUGUUAAGCCCGUGGAGGCGUCGAUGUACCAUCGAUGGGUGCCUAUAGGAUCGCAUUCAUAAUUGGAUUUGCAUGGACCAUCGUGCUGCAAGUCGAUGGCCAGCCAAUCCAUUAUUCUGAGAGGAAGGCGUCGAGGCAGCCAGUGCCCUACAACUCCGGUUAUCAUGUAGAGACAUCGUAUGACACCAACCAUGGAUCGCCCAGCGGCGAGACCAGGAUAGUCACGCUUCCUCCAACAAACCUAAAACCAUCAAGGCAACCAGUGCCGUUCUCCGGCAAGACUGAAACAUCAUCAUCUUAUGCCUUCCCUGACCAGAAGCCUCAUCGUCAGCCAGUGCCUAAAGCUGACCGAUGGGCUGAGCAACACACUUCUGAUCCUAGAAAUCAAACAUUUGUUGCAUCUGUUCGACGAGACAAGUCACAAUUCGAAAGGAGACCAUCACGACAACCUGUACCUUCAGCACCAUCUGUACCAAAUGAAGGUUCUUUAAAAGACGAGCCCAUUAAACCAGUCCCCAAAAUACCAUCUGUACCAGCGGGCAACCAAAUCGCAAAAACAUCCCCAUCGGCGUCGGUAAUACCAUUAUGGAAGCAGGCACCCGAGACGCCAUGGCAACCAAACAUUGGUGGCUAUCAACCAUACUCUUUAAACUACAAUUCCAGACCAAACAACCAUCUUAGCUGGAACCCAAUUGUUAACGUGGCUCGUCAGUACCAAAUGAAACGACAAGGGCUCAGCCAAUACCGUACUGGGAACCCAUUGAGCAUCUGGGGUCUUUCUGGUAGACAGAUCAAUAGCAACUACAUGUACAGAGAGAUGGUUCCAGCAGACAACUACGCAGGAAACGCCUACGACAGUCAUCUCAGCUCCUUCGGCGUCGUUGACUACAACGGUCCAUGCAGAAGGCUGUGUACAAUGUACUGCUCCCUUGGGUACGACGUUGAUAUAAAAGGAUGCCCUGCAUGUAACUGUCAACGUCCAGGUGCCGGCCAUCCUACGUACAUUGGCAGCAUCGUUUGCCUGUCCUCGUCGCUAUUGUAAUCAGCAUUGUCCUUACGGCCAGGAGAAGGAUGUAUUCGGCUGCAGCACAUGUACAUGCAAGUCAUUUAGUGGGAUGCUGAUUGAGUACAUUCGGAGCCUUCCCUAUGACCCCGGAAUCCUUUUCUCUGAGUAGACUACACAGCAUAAUGCCGAUUUCCUCCAAGCGUGCAUACCACGCACAUAUCACACAUAUGUAUAGACACUGCUCUGUCAUUGUUUAAAUAUAUUAAAUCGCUUGUCAGUUGUA